rnacentral:lncRNA from 1 species
UUUAUCUUUUUUUUUUUUUUUUUUUUUUUUUUUUUUUACUGUAAAGUGAGAGGUUGUUAACAAAGAAUAUAUAUUGGUCAUUCUUACAACUACUAUUUAAAGUCAGCAACUUUUCACUGAAUUUGAUAGAUUUUAUGUUUGGCCAUAUCUUCAUGCUCAUAUUUGAUUUCUGAAGACUUCCUACAUACACUUUAAUAAAAGUUAAACAGACAUAGCCCCUCUUUUUUGAUUUACUGGUACAUUUUUAAGUAAUAAAUCUGCCAUAAAAUGCACUAUAGCUGGAGACUUGCACUUGUAUGGAUGAAUUUAUUACAUUCAACAUAUUUAAUUUUAUGCCUUCUAAGAUGCAGAAAAAAAAUAAAUGAACAUGAUUUUAUUCUAUGCCAAACAUUUGGGCCUCUGAAUGUAUCCAUUAUUUGAAUUUAUUAUAUGAAAAGUUAUGGUCAAUUGAAAAAGUCGAUUUAAACUGUUUUCCUCAAGGGCUCCUCUUUUUCCUGGACUGUGUGGUUUUGUUCCUGAAGUAGUCACAUGUAUGUAUCAACACGAGGCUCUGUCGGAGAGAGGCUGGGCCUCUCUGGUGCUGUCACAGUCCGCUCUGUACCUGCCACACAGGCUCAUUUUCAUGCAAACUCUUCCUAGAGCCAAUAAAUAAAAACUUAGGUGAAUUAGU